CUGCACGAGGCUUGACGGGUACGGGGAUUAGGGUUCGAUUCCGGAGAGGGAGCCUGAGAAACGGCUACCACAUCUAAGGAAGGCAGCAGGCGCGCAAAUUACCCAAUCCUAAUACAGGGAGGUAGUGACAAGAAAUAACAAUACAGAACCUUACGGUUUUGUAAUUGGAAUGAGUUAAGUAUAAACCCCUUAACAAGUAUCAAUUGGAGGGCAAGUCUGGUGCCAGCAGCCGCGGUAAUUCCAGCUCCAAUAGCGUAUAUUAAAGUUGUUGCAGUUAAAAAGCUCGUAGUUAAUCUUCUGUUAAUUUUUAUAUAUAAUAUCACGAUAUUUAUAUAAUAUUAACAUAAUUCAUAUUACUUUUUAGUAUAUGAAACUUUACUUUGAGAAAAUUAGAGUGCUUAAAGCAGGCUAUUGCCUUGAAUACUCCAGCAUGGAAUAAUAUUAAGGAUUUUUAUUCUUCUUAUUGGUUCUAGAAUAAAAAUGAUGAUUAAUAGGGACAGUUGGGGGCAUUUGUAUUUAACAGUCAGAGUAAA
rnacentral:rRNA from 1 species